rnacentral:rRNA from 1 species
CCAGCAGCCGCGGUAAUUCCAGCUCUAAUAGCGUAUAUUAAAGUUGUUGCAGUUUAAAAGCUCGUAGUCGGAAGUCGGGCUCGGGCAGGCUGUCGGCCUCGGUUGGGCAGCUUGCUUGGGUCUUCUAGCUCGGGGGCCCCGUGCCAUUUAACCGUGGUGCGCGGGAACACGGGCCGUUUACUUUGAAAAAAUUAGAGUGUUCAAAGCAGGCCUACGCCUGAAUACACAAGCUUGGAAUAAUGAAAUAGGACUUUUUCCAUUUUAUUGGUUAUUGGAGAGAGUAAUGAUUAAUAGGGACAGUUGGGGGCAUUAGUAUUUCGUUGUCAGAGGUGAAAUUCUUGGAUUUACGAAAGACUAACUUAUGCGAAAGCAUUUGCCAAGGAUGUUUUCAUUAAUCAAGAACGAACAU